GACGAACGCUGGCGGCGUGCUUAACACAUGCAAGUCGAGCGGAAAGGCCCUUCGGGGUCCCCGAGCGGCGAAGGGGCGAGUGACACGGUAACAACCUGCCCCAGUCCCUGUGAUAACGGUCGGACAUGGGGGCUCAGACCCGAUACGAGACAACUUCGCUGAGCGUCUGGGUGGAAUGUUUUUCGGUUUGGGUUGGGCGCGUGGCCUAUGAGCUUGUUGGUGGGGUGCUGGCUUACCAAGGCGAGGCCGGGUAGCCGGCCUGAGAGGGGGACCGGCCACACGGGGACUGAGACACGGCCCAGACUCCUACGGGAGGCAGAAGUGGGGAAUAUUGCACAAUGGGCGGAAGCCUGAUGCAGCGACGCCGCGUGAGGGAUGACGGCCUUCGGGUUGUAAACCUCUUUCAGCAGGGACGAAGCGUAAGUGACGGUACCUGCAGAAGAAGCGCCGGCCAACUACGUG
rnacentral:rRNA from 1 species